rnacentral:rRNA from 1 species
CAAACCUGGUUGAUCCUGCCAGUUAGUCAUAUGCUUGUCUCAAAGAUUAAGCCAUGCAUGUCUAAGUUUAAGCAAUAAACGGUGAAACUGCGAAUGGCUCAUUAAAUCAGUCAUAGUUUAUUUGAUGGUACCCUACUACAUGGAUAACUGUGGUAAUUCUAGAGCUAAUACAUGCCGAAAAAUCUCGACUUCUG